UUCCAGACUCCUACGGGAGGCAGCAGUGGGGAAUAUUGCACAAUGGGCGAAAGCCUGAUGCAGCAACGCCGCGUGAAGGAAGAAGGGUUUCGGCUCGUAAACUUCUAUCAACAGGGACGAAAGAAAUGACGGUACCUGAAUAAGAAGCCCCGGCUAACUACGUGCCAGCAGCCGCGGUAAUACGUAGGGGGCAAGCGUUAUCCGGAAUUACUGGGUGUAAAGGGAGCGUAGGCGGGAAGCCAAGUCAGCUGUGAAAACUACGGGCUUAACCUGUAGACUGCAGUUGAAACUGGCUUUCUUGAGUGAAGUAGAGGUUGGCGGAAUUCCGAGUGUAGCGGUGAAAUGCGUAGAUAUUCGGAGGAACACCGGUGGCGAAGGCGGCCAACUGGGCUUUAACUGACGCUGAGGCUCGAAAGUGUGGGGAGCAAACAGGAUUAGAUACCCGAGUACA
rnacentral:rRNA from 1 species